rnacentral:rRNA from 1 species
CCUACGGGAGGCAGCAGUGGGGAAUAUUGCACAAUGGGGGAAACCCUGAUGCAGCAACGCCGCGUGAAGGAAGACGUAUUUCGGAUCGUAAACUUCUGUUCUCAGGGAAGAAUAAUGACGGUAUCUAAGUUGCAAGCCACGUCUAACUACGUGCCAGCAGCCGUGGUAAUACGUAGGUGGCAAGCGUUGUCCGGAAUUACUGGGUGUAAAGGGAGCGCAGGCGGGAAGCCAAGUCAGCUGUGAAAACUACGGGCUUAACUUGUAGACUGCAGUUGAAACUGGUUUUCUUGAGUGCAGUAGAGGUUGGCGGAAUUCCGAGUGUAGCGGUGAAAUGCGUAGAUAUUAGGAGGAACACCGGUGGCGAAGGCGGCCAACUGGGCUUUAACUGACGCUGAGGCUCGAAAGUGUGGGGAGCAAACAGGAUUAGAUACCCGGGUAGUC